rnacentral:rRNA from 1 species
AACGAACGCUGGCGGCAGGCCUAACACAUGCAAGUCGAACGAAGCCCUCGGGCUUAGUGGCGCGCGGGUGAGUAACACGUGGGAACGCGCCCUUAGGUACGGAACAACAGCUGGAAACGGCUGCUAAUACUGUAUGAUGACGAAAGUCCAAAGAUUUAUCGCCUAAGGAUCGUCCCGCGUUAGAGUAGGUAGUUGGUGGGGUAAGAGCCUACCAAGCCUACGAUCUAUAGCUGGUCUCAGAGGAUGAUCAGCCACACUGGAACUGAGAAACGGUCCAGACUCCUACGGGAGGCAGCAGUGAGGAAUAUUGGACAAUGGGCGAAAGCCUGAUCCAGCCAUGCCGCGUGAAUGAUGAAGGCCUUAGGGUUGUAAAGUUCUUUUAGUAGUGAAGAUGAUGACGGUAACUACAGAAAAAGCCCCGGCUAACUCCGUGCCAGCCGCCGCGGUAAGAC